ACGGUCCUAAGGUAGCGAAAUUCCUUGUCGGGUAAGUUCCGACCUGCACGAAUGGCGUAAUGAUGGCCAGGCUGUCUCCACCCGAGACUCAGUGAAAUUGAACUCGCUGUGAAGAUGCAGUGUACCCGCGGCAAGACGGAAAGACCCCGUGAACCUUUACUAUAGCUUGACACUGAACACUGGUCCUUGAUGUGUAGGAUAGGUGGGAGGCUUUGAAGCGUGGACGCCAGUCUGCGUGGAGCCAACCUUGAAAUACCACCCUUUAAUGGCUGGUGUUCUAACGUAGACCCGUAAUCCGGGUUGCGGACAGUGUCUGGUGGGUAGUUUGACUGGGGCGGUCUCCUCCCAAAGAGUAACGGAGGAGCACGAAGGUUGGCUAAUCCUGGUCGGACAUCAGGAGGUUAGUGCAAUGGCAUAAGCCAGCUUGACUGCGAGCGUGACGGCGCGAGCAGGUGCGAAAGCAGGUCAUAGUGAUCCGGUGGUUCUGAAUGGAAGGGCCAUCGCUCAACGGAUAAAAGGUACUCCGGGGAUAACAGGCUGAUACCGCCCAAGAGUUCAUAUCGACGGCGGUGUUUGGCACCUCGAUGUCGGCUCAUCACAUCCUGGGGCUGAAGUAGGUCCCAAGGGUAUGGCUGUUCGCCAUUUAAAGUGGUACGCGAGCUGGGUUUAGAACGUCGUGAGACAGUUCGGUCCCUAUCUGCCGUGGGCGCUGGAGAAUUGAGGGGGGCUGCUCCUAGUACGAGAGGACCGGAGUGGACGCAUCACUGGUGUUCGGGUUGUCAUGCCAAUGGCACUGCCCGGUAGCUAAAUGCGGAAAAGAUAAGUGCUGAAAGCAUCUAAGCACGAAACUUGCCCCGAGAUGAGUUCUCCCUGAGACUUUAAGUCUCCUGAAGGAACGUUGAAGACUACGACGUUGAUAGGUCGGGUGUGUAAGCGCAGCGAUGCGUUGAGCUAACCGAUACUAAUGAACCGUGAGGCUUAACCUU
rnacentral:rRNA from 1 species